rnacentral:lncRNA from 1 species
CGGUAUAUCGUCCCAGAAAAAAAUUUUAGUUUUUUUUAAAAUUUUUAGAUUAAAAAAGAGGCAACCAAUUGCGGGCUGCCAUGUGUCAUUAGACCCGCGAAUAGUAAAAAACAAGGCAUAAGACGUCCUCCAUUAAGAAAUUUCCCGAUUUUUUUUUUCAUUUUUGUUUUUUUUUAAAUUAAAUUCAGGGGGACUGGGGCUAAGUAUGCCAAUGCCCAUGCUCUAAGCUGCAUAAUCCAACACUAAAUCAACCUAGAUCUACCAUAGCUCAAAGACCCCAAAUGACUACUCUCUAAUCAUGAUGAUUACACAAAUAAUAUGAUUACAUAAUAGAAAUGAGAUAUUCUUUGUGAAAUAGUUAAGAAAGAGAGUAGAUUAAGAAAAGAAAG